AGUGAACGCUGGCGGUAGGCCUAACACAUGCAAGUCGAACGGCAGCACAGUAAGAGCUUGCUCUUACGGGUGGCGAGUGGCGGACGGGUGAGGAAUACAUCGGAAUCUACUUUUUCGUGGGGGAUAACGUAGGGAAACUUACGCUAAUACCGCAUACGACCUACGGGUGAAAGCAGGGGAUCUUCGGACCUUGCGCGAUUGAAUGAGCCGAUGUCGGAUUAGCUAGUUGGCGGGGUAAAGGCCCACCAAGGCGACGAUCCGUAGCUGGUCUGAGAGGAUGAUCAGCCACACUGGAACUGAGACACGGUCCAGACUCCUACGGGAGGCAGCAGUGGGGAAUAUUGGACGAUGGGCGCAAGCCUGAUCCAGCCAUACCGCGUGGGUGAAGAAGGCCUUCGGGUUGUAGAGCCCUUUUGUUGGGAAAGAAAAGCAGCAGGUUAAUACCCCGCUGUUCUGACGGUACCCAAAGAAUAAGCACCGGCUAACUUCGUG
rnacentral:rRNA from 1 species